CAGCACUUUGCCAACUCGUAAGAGGAAGUAUAAGGUGUGACGCCUGCCCGGUGCUCGAAGGUUAAGAGGAUGCGUCAGUCGCAAGAUGAAGCGUUGAAUUGAAGCCCGAGUAAACGGCGGCCGUAACUAUAACGGUCCUAAGGUAGCGAAAUUCCUUGUCGGUUAAAUACCGACCUGCAUGAAUGGCGUAACGAGAUGGGAGCUGUCUCAACCAGAGAUUCAGUGAAAUUGUAGUGGAGGUGAAAAUUCCUCCUACCCGCGGCAAGACGGAGAGACCCCGUGGACCUUUACUACAACUUAGCACUGCUAACGGGAAUAUCAUGCGC
rnacentral:rRNA from 1 species